rnacentral:rRNA from 1 species
GUCACGCCGUAAACGAUGGAUGCUAGCCGUUGGCAAGCUUGCUUGUCGGUGGCGCAGCUAACGCAUUAAGCAUCCCGCCUGGGGAGUACGGCCGCAAGGUUAAAACUCAAAGGAAUUGACGGGGGCCCCGCACAAGCGGUGGAGCAUGUGGUUUAAUUCGACGCAACGCGAAGAACCUUACCAAGCCUUGACAUGUCCGGUCGGUUUCCAGAAAUGGAUUCCUCCUAGCAAUAGGUCGGAACACAGGUGCUGCAUGGCUGUCGU